rnacentral:rRNA from 1 species
CGCGUAGGCGGCUUGGUAAGGUAAAUGUGAAAGCCCGGGGCUUAACCCCGGAAGUGCAUUUAAAACUGCCUGGCUUGAGUAUGGGAGAGGGAAGUGGAAUUCCUGGUGUAGAGGUGAAAUUCGUAGAUAUCAGGAGGAACACCGGUGGCGAAGGCGACUUCCUGGACCAAUACUGACGCUGAGGCGCGAAGGCGUGGGUAGCAAACAGGAUUAGAUACCCUGGUAGUCC